rnacentral:lncRNA from 1 species
UCCCACCCAGAGGCUUUAAAUGUCUGACAACUUCCUGGUAGAAAUAUUGCUAUGCAGGAAAACCUCAGAUGCCUGUCUCUUAAGUUUAAACCUAUGUAUAACAAAAAGGCCUUCAUACACCACUACACUAGAGAGGGCUUAAGUGAAUCCGAAUUCACUGAAGCACAAGAAGAUUUAAAUGAUUUGAUUUCUGAUUAUCAGAGUUUUCAGGAUUGCGGAAAAGGGGAGGAAAAAAAAAAAUCUAAAUCAAACAAAAAGCGAACUUACAACGCGGCGCCAUAUGCCAAGACCAACUCAGGGAAAGGCCCCGUGGGUCAAGCCGGGGCAAGAAGCAUGGGGGUUGGGAUGUCAGGAGGACCAAUCCCGAAUAAGAACUCCGCAGACAGCUUCUUAGAGCAGAGAAAUUACGACGCGGCGCCAUAUGCCAAGACCAACUCAGGGAAAGGCCCCGUGGGUCAAGCCGGGGCAAGAAGCAUGGGGGUUGGGAUGUCAGGAGGACCAAUCCCGAAUAAGAACUCCGAAGACAGCUUCUUAGAGCAGAGAGCAUCUCAGAAUGCAAAGAAAUAUUCAAGAGACGGAUCUCUCAGAGACAAUGCUUCAAAGACGACUACAGAACUUGGACCACCACCACCACCUAAUAAUGGGGGAAAGCCAAGCACUUCAAGGAAAUUUAAGCCCCCAAAUGAAACAAGAUCAGACACUAAUCAACCAAGAAAGGUGAACUCCAAAGUGAAAUCUUGUAACAAACCAGAAGUAGUAUAUAAUUGCUGUAUCAGCAGUUAUUUAUUCGUCUCAAAUUAAGAUCUUCAGAAGGAACUAGAAGCUGGAGAGACAGUAAUUCCUUCCUCUACAGUGUGGCUUAAGCUCUAUGAAGAUGGAAGAACAGUGGAAAGGCCAAAAAAAAAAGUUGACAAUUGUUGCAUCGAAGGGUAAAAAAUUGUCAACUUGAUAAUGCAAAGACUAAAUACAUAGUACUGGAAAAAGGUAAAUUUUUUUCUCACUUUGAUGAAACUCACAUUUCAUUCAAGUCAAUAAUAAAACUCUUCUCAAAAGAACGUGAACCCA